CAGGUGUCUGUCUGUUGGUGUUGUUUAUCCUCCAGGUGUCUGUCUGUUGGUGUUGUUUAUCCUCCAGGUGUCUGUCUGUUGGUGUUGUUUAUCCUCCAGGUCUCUGUCUGUCUGUUGGUGUUGUUUAUCCUCCAGGUCUCUGUCUGUCUGUUGGUGUUGUUUAUCCUCCAGGUCUCUGUCUGUUGGUGUUGUUUAUCCUCCAGGUCUCUGUCUGUUGGUGUUGUUUAUCCUCCAGGUCUCUGUCUGUCUGUUGGUGUUGUUUAUCCUCCAGGUCUCUGUCUGUCUGUUGGUGUUGUUUAUCCUCCAGGUCUCUGUCUGUCUGUUGGUGUUGUUUAUCCUCCAGGUGUCUGUCUGUUGUUGGUGUU
rnacentral:lncRNA from 1 species